GGAGCGGUGUCCGAGCGGCUGAAGGGACCGCAUUGGAAAUGCGGUGUACGGGCAACUGUACCGAGGGUUCGAAUCCCUCCCGCUCCG
rnacentral:tRNA from 1 species